GCUUGCUUCGCCAAUACAUAUACUAAAAUUGGAAUGAUACAGAGAAGACUAGCAAGGCCCCUGCACAAGGAUGACAUACAAAUUCAUGAAGUGUUUCAUAUUUUU